AUCUCUUUUGUCUUCUUCAAGGUUAUCACUGGUCUCUUCUUACCAGUUUAAUAUCUGAUACGUCCUCUGUCUGAGGACAAUAUAUUAAAUGGAUUUUUGGAGCAGGGAGAUGGAAUAGGAGCUUGCUCCAUCCCCUCCACGCAUAGACCUGGUAUUGCAGUACCUCCAGGAUCCUUGCUCUGUUG